GGUUUGUCGCGUUGUUCGUGAAAUCUCACGGCUUAACUGUGAGCGUGCGGGCGAUACGGGCAGACUUGAGUACUGCAGGGGAGACUGGAAUUCCUGGUGUAGCGGUGGAAUGCGCAGAUAUCAGGAGGAACACCGGUGGCGAAGGCGGGUCUCUGGGCAGUAACUGACGCUGAGGAGCGAAAGCGUGGGGAGCGAACAGGAUUAGAUACCCUGGUAGUCCACGCCGUAAACGGUGGGUACUAGGUGUGGGUUUCCUUCCUUGGGAUCCGUGCCGUAGCUAACGCAUUAAGUACCCCGCCUGGGGAGUACGGCCGCAAGGCUAAAACUCAAAGAAAUUGACGGGGGCCCGCACAAGCGGCGGAGCAUGUGGAUUAAUUCGAUGCAACGCGAAGAACCUUACCUGGGUUUGACAUGCACAGGACGCCGGCAGAGAUGUCGGUUCCCUUGUGGCCUGUGUGCAGGUGGUGCAUGGCUGUCGUCAGCUCGUGUCGUGAGAUGUUGGGUUAAGUCCCGCAACGAGCGCAACCCUUGUCUCAUGUUGCCAGCGGGUAAUGCCGGGGACUCGUGAGAGACUGCCGGGGUCAACUCGGAGGAAGGUGGGGAUGACGUCAAGUCAUCAUGCCCCUUAUGUCCAGGGCUUCACACAUGCUACAAUGGCCGGUACAAAGGGCUGCGAUGCCGCGAGGUUAAGCGAAUCCUUUUAAAGCCGGUCUCAGUUCGGAUCGGGGUCUGCAACUCGACCCCGUGAAGUCGGAGUCGCUAGUAAUCGCAG
rnacentral:rRNA from 1 species